UGGGAUUCCAGACCUGAGAUGUAAUAUUUUAUACUGGAAUAGGUUGCCCAAGGAGGCUGUGGAUGCCCCAUCCCUGCAGGCAUUCAAGGCCAGGCUGGAUGUGGCUCUGGGCAGCCUGGGCUGCUGGUUGGCGACCCUGCACAUAGCAGGGGGUUGGAACUGGAUGAGCAUUGUGGGCCUUUUCAACCCAGGCCAUUCUGUGAUUCUACAGGGAGACAAACUCUGCACCUUGACCUGCAGCCCACAGAACGCAGCUCCAGUGCUAAUGCCAUACAGUAGCUGAAAGNCUAACAUCCAACCUCAACCUCCCCUGUCUCACUUUCAAACCAUUCCCCCUUGUCCUAUCACUGUCUUUUCCUAUCUAUCCCACUAUCUAAAUUUCCUAUUUAUUCCCACUAUCUAAAUGUCUCUAUGCAGCCGGUGCAAGGUGUGCUUACAGGGCCCUAUGGGAAGAACAUUUAGGGACUGAAGAAAAAAAAGCUGAGGAGAAGGACUGAAGGUCAUCACAACGCCGGCAGUGGUCCAAAGCACAUUCUCCUCCUGCUUGGUCGCUGGCUCCAGUGCUCCCAGAAAUGCCUCCUGUCUUCACAUUGCACUCCCCCUCUGCCCACCCGGCUCCUUCAGCAGCAGGAGGCACGAUGGCCUCCUCCAGUCCCACUGGAGCACUCUGAGGGACAUCAUGUUGCCGUGGUGGCUUCGGCGUGGACACGGUGGUGGUGGUUGGGUUUGGUUCAUCUGCUGGAGCUGCUGCCAUUUACACUAGUGUAUCUCUUAUUGCUGUGCCAGUCUAUUGAAUAAUGCAACUUCUUUUCGUAUAUACGUGUAUGUGUGUAUGUGUCUGUGGGUGUAGAUAAAUCAAUAGCUAGGUUAAAGUUAUUUCUUUCUUUCUUUACAAGUUCUUUGUUUCUUUCUCUGGACUCUCUGUCAUCCUCAGCUCUGACGUCUGGGCUUGGAAGAUGUUCCAGUGACCUGGGUGAGCAGAGAUGGACACUUGUUAGCCUUCGCCUUUAGU
rnacentral:lncRNA from 1 species